UUUCCGUAGGUGAACCUGCGGAAGGAUCAUUAAAAGAGAAUUUUGUUUGGUAGUAGAAAUACUCCAGCAAAAAUCCCAACCCUUGUCUAUACAAAAACAAACUUGUUGCUUCGGUGGGUUCAAGGAAUUCUCACUGCUGAACUUUACUGUUUGGACAUAUUAUUCCUCCGCCAGAAGAAAUCAAAAUCAAACUCUUUAACAAAAAAUUGUCUGAAAAUAUUGAACUUGAAUAAAAAUCAAGUGAAAAUUAUUACAACUUUCAACAACGGAUCUCUUGGUUCUGGCAUCGAUGAAGAACGCAGC
rnacentral:misc_RNA from 1 species